CACUCCAGGGAAAAAGGGCAUCGCCUCCUUUGGUGAAGGACACUCCCUGCUGAUGGAGGAUGGGAAAUCCCUUCCUCCUGCCGCAGCCCAGCUGGCCUGCAGUGGACCUGCUAGGACAGUGUGGACCUUGUAGGCUGUCGCAGCUGCCGUCGCCCCAGAGAGAAAGCGCCCCAGAGCC
rnacentral:other from 1 species